CUUUGCCGGCCCUUCGAAGCGCCCCAACACGCCCCGUGUACGUGUACGCGCGUGGGUCGAACAGCGAAAACGUCACAGCGAGUUGCUGAAACACGAGUCGACGACGACGACGACGACGGCGGCGGCUCACGAACUCGAUCGAUCCAGGAUCAAAACUGCGGAUGACGGAUCGAUCCACCGGUGAUACGAUCCCAAGUACUUGGGGUCGAACUAAAGCUCAGUCGAUCUCGAUGUUUCCAGCAGCCGCAGCAACGAGGUAGUGGAGUGGAGCGCUCUAAACAAUUCGUUCGUCCGCCAGCUAGACUAGACUAGACCAGACCGCGAGCGGAAUCGGCGUCGAGCGCUCUGCAGGCACUAGGCUAGAGAGGAAGUGCACGGCAGUCGACUACCACCACCACGGCACGCCUUCCGUGCUCUGCGCUAGCCGACUCACCGCAGGACCGACCAAGUGCGUGGCGCCGUACCGCUUACUGUCCCUGCAGCGGCAAGCAGGGGGACCCCACUCCACUGCUGCCUGGGUACUGGUACUCUCGAUCGGGGUGACGACCGUGCACGUGCCCGCCGCGGAUGCAUGCGCGCUACGUGCCGUCUGACCCUGCCCUGUCCCCGUACGUGCGUCUGCCAGGUCUGCCUAGCCCUCGCGUGUGCGUACUAGAGGGCCCAGGGCUGGGCCGGCCGACAAAACUGCCAAAGACUCUGGCCGGCCAUCCAUCCAUCUAGAAGAGGCGCGAACGCGAGAGAGCUAGCUACCUCCAACAUUUCGGAUUUCGGUCUCGACCUCGUAGGUAGUACCGCUGCCCGCCGUGCCUAGUGCGCACGGCACGGCUGCUAGCCACAGGGCGACCGAGUGGGCGGCCCGUGUACUGUACCCUAGCAGGUCUAUCGCUCCCUCGCGCGCCCUAGUACGUACGUACGCGCGCGGCCGACGGAUCGGAGGUAGGCGUACACGCCGCCACCUCUGUCUCCCUUUCCGGCCCGAUCGCCCUCCGGGUGGGUGGAGGUGGUGUUCCGGAGAGCAGCAGCCGCCGAGUCGUGCACUGAUGCGCUGGAUCGAUCGAGGGAAAGGAAAGCGGAGAGGUCUCUCCUGCGCGUGCCCUAGAUAGGUAGGUAGACGAGGCCGCGACAGGCAAAACAUGGAGUUAAUGGCCGCUAGGUGGCACGUAGAGGCCGCCACAGGCAUCACAAUAAUGAAAAACGGCUGCGCCCUGCACCUCCUCUCUCUCUCGGGAACGACAACACGCAUAUUUGAAAACUUCUGUGCCAUGUUGUGUUCGUCUGUCUGUCCGCCCGAGGGUGAAACAAUUUAGGAGCAGUUAGGGGAGCGGAGCGGAGAGGAGGGGCUGAGAGAGAGAGAGAGCGAGCGAGGCGGCUGAUAUUAUUCGAGACGGUCGGCUUGGGCGACUUGUAAGGUAGGCGGUCAUGACCCGAUCAUGUCUCAUGGUCGGUCGUCGUUCUAGGUCGGUGGCAGUAAGGACGACGGCGACGCUGCCGUCCGCCGGGGCUGUCUAGAGGACUCGGGGGACGACGGGGCCGUUACCUCGAGAAGGUUCCCCUCCUCGGCCGGGUGCUGAAGGAGAGCGAGGCGCGGCCCCCGAGCAGCCGCAAGGUCGUGUCCGUCGCGAGGCCGGUCGUUCCGGGCUUCAGCGAACUCGGUCGGUCGCCGCCGCCGUGCCGGUCAAGGCGCCGUCCAAACCCCGUCGUGCACGACGGCCCGCCGCAGCCCUGGAAGUCGUAGUCCGUUGACGGACUGCGAGUCGGCUCCCUCCUCCGACCGUGACCGUCCCUUGGCAGACAAAGCCACAGAGUACCGAGGUCUUACCUCUGACGCGUACUCCGUGCCAGGCCUUAAUACCAAGCAUCACGAGGUGGGUGUGGGCGUUACACCGUUCUAAGAUCGUGGCUGUUGUUCUCUAGAUCUCCCAGCUCUCGUCUCCCCUCUUCGUCGCCGUCGUCACGGCUAGUCCUAGGGUCGUCGGGCUCUAGCUUCGUAAGGCGAUGGCUCGUCGCCGCCUCCUGGUUCUAUUUACUGUCCGAACUGCAUGAGGCGCUGGAGGACGGCUUGACACUAGUCUUCUCCCUAUUUCGAAGAAAGGAAGACGUCCAAUAACUCAUGUAUUCCGAGAACGUUCUCUUUACGGUUUUUAUACUCAGUCCGUAAGGUCUUGUCUUGCUGCAGCUACGGUUGACGUACGGUACCCUGUUUCACAUGAUGUCUAGUGCAACCUCCUUGUGCGUCUUGUAGUCAGUUCAGGUUCCUCCUCCGAAUAGUCGAUGGUGUCUCCUCCUGUACUUGUUUCUCGUUAUGUCAAGGUUUCCGUAACGUUCACGUGGACGACGAAGAGAGAAGUUGUGUGUUUCACGUUCUCUUUAGUCGUGUCGGGGGUCAAGGAGGGUCUUGUAUCGUCUCUUGUCAUACGGAUGGUUAGUCGAUGGCACCGAUUCAUACAGUUGGUACUUGGUUUUGACGCUACGUUCGUUGCCUGACGAUUCGUUCGUACUAUGUGUUUACGGCGUUCUACUGUCGGUCUCAGAAAGUUCACGAAUGAGGGUUCCCAACAAUGUAUUUGACUUUCUUCGAGAAGUCUCCAGCCCUCAUCUGGGUAGAGUUUGAUUUUAUAGGCAUCUCUAGUUAUACCUAUCUGCCCGGUCUCGGUUACGAGUAUAUGUACUGUCAAGUUUCCGAUUGCUUCCGUUUCUUGGACAGGUCCAUCGGUUCUCCGACGCCACGCUGACUUCGAUGUAGAGGCAGGGCGUGAUCUGUUAAGUAAGUAGCACUUCAAGUCUGUUCCUGAAACGUCGCCGCACUGGCGUUGACUACGUUAAGAAAAUAAAUAUAACGUCAAUGUAAAAUGAUUGGAUUCGAAGUAAGUAUACGGUUCCUUUCGACGAUAACCCUCUCGUCGGCUUAAGAAGGCCUAAAAGAAUAACGACUAAAACAUUUACGUCAAGUCUAAGAACAUGUUACACACACGUAAAGAGGGAGUAAGUUGAGUUAUAAAAGAAAACAAUAAUAUCUUCUCCAGGAUCCUACGUCGAACAUAGCUUGCUUUCGAUAUUAUUGUUAAGUUGACUAAACCGUAUGUGACCUCACUAGAUAUUACGGUAACAUAGUCGGAAAGUACUAAGGUAGGUAACUUAAAUGUUGAUUUACGCAUUGUUGCUGACAUGAUAUGAUUUGGACACUUAAUUCUAAGUUUUUGUAGUUACUUGGUACCUCUACAAGCCCACAUAGUCUAAGGCAAAGGGGAACACCACCCAUUCUAACCUCGUUCAGAGUGUAGUGGACCGCGAGCCGGCGCAGCCGCUGCUACCCGUCCGCGCCGCACUAGGGCUCGUCCGUCCGCGGGGGCGGCAUCUCCUCCCUCUGCUCGUCCUUCUCCUUCUGCCACAAGAGGUCCGACCACUUCUACAGCUCGGGCUACGGCGGGGGGCUCCCGCGCUUCCUGACGCGCUCCUCCAGGCCCUGCUACUCGUCCUGCAGCUCGCGCUGCCGGACGUACCGCAACUUCGCGUGCUUCGCCCUCUUCCGGACGACCAACGCCUGCUGCCGCUUCAUCUCCCACUACUUCUCCUCCUUCCCGCACUCGCCCCUCCUCACCUUCUCCGCGCGCCGGCCCGGCUCGCCCGACUCGUGCCGCAACUUCUGGCCCAUGACCCGGUGCUCCUUCGCCGGCACCACGCGCGGCAGCUCCUUGCCCAUCUCCAUCCGCUGCCGGCGGUGGUCCGCCAGGCCGCGGGGGUGGC
rnacentral:rRNA from 1 species